rnacentral:lncRNA from 1 species
UGUGUUGUUUGAUGAAAAUAUGAACGGCUCGAAUAAUCCGUAAAUGAAUAUUAAGCCGGAAACUCAUAAGUUAAGAAUUUCCUUAAUCCGGAUUUUAGAUUUCAGGUUCACAUGAUAGAAAAUCAAAUUACGAACAUGUGGGAAGAAACGGGAGGUUAAACGGGUAAACGGUUUAAAGUUACGCAAGUUUUAGCGUUAACGGACGAAGAAACAAAACCGUAGAAACACAAGGGACAGAGGGGGCGUCGACGACGCCAAGAGGGGCAUCGCCGACGCCGUGUUCUGAUGUUGGUUUUUCGUGGACGCCCUUUGGUGUGCAAAUUCGCUGAAAAUGUAAUUUUUGACCCAUCGUGAGUUCUGUGCCUUCCGUAACUUAUCCCGUGACCUUUAAAGAGUCCCGAAAUGUAUUCCAAACUCAUUGUAGAGUGCUUAUGAGAUACGAUGAGUGCAUACGUAAGUUUAAGAGGGAAUGAAAUAACUCUAAAGGCACGUACACGUAUGGGUAUGGAUUUACCUCCAUGUUAGAAAUGGAAUCCAUAGGUAAGCAUGUUUAGAAAUGAAUAUGUACGUAGGUCAAUACAUACGAGACUUCUUUAUAUAAAUGUUUUUGAUUGGGAUAUAAGUUAGUAUAAUCAUAUGAGAUUGUAAAUAGUAUGCAAGAGGUUGUAUGUAGGCAUGUAUGUAGCUAUGUAUGUAUGUAUGAAUAUACGAAUGCACGAAGUAGGAAUUAUCGCCCAUAUAGAAUGGUGCAUGUAUGUAUGUAUACAUGGUUUCAAUACGUUGGAUAUUUACGUUACUAAUAGUGUGCCUUGAGAGUGAAAUGUAAUGCAUGUACAUUAUUGAAGUCUCACCAAGGAUUAGACACCCAGAUGAAAUGCUUAAAUUAGAAAGAUAACGGAAUAGAAAGUAUAUGAGGAUAGCACGUGGUACAGAAUCAUGGAUCAACAUGAUGGAAGGCUAG